rnacentral:ncRNA from 1 species
UUUUUGGUAAGCAGAACUGGCGAUGCGGGAUGAACCGAACGCGCGGUUAAGGUGCCAAAGUCGACGCUCAUCAGACCCCACAAAAGGUGUUGGUUGCUCUAGACAGCAGGACGGUGGCCAUGGAAGUUGGAAUCCGCUAAGGAGUGCUUGACUGUCGCUGCACUGAUGACAUCUCGUUCAAUUUGAUUGACAGCCUCUAGCUUGUAUCCAGCCUCAAACCCAUGGUUGGGGACAGUCUGACAGAAAGCAAUCAAUUCUAAAUGACAUUGAGAUGUACAAUUGAGAUUGUACAGAGCAAGUCAGCUAUGAAUGUA